UAACCGUAGGUGAACCUGCGGUUGGAUCAUUACUGAUUCGUAAAAUGCUUUGUGUAAUGUGUGUUUGGUUUCCUUUUUUUCUUCUUUUUUCUUUUGGUUUCAGGGGAGAGUCUUUGACUUUUUUCUAAGAUUGAGGGAAAGGGGGAGGGGAGGGGGCGCCUACCGCUCACAAGACUAAAGCCGUUUACCAUCCUGUUUGCUUUGUAUUGUUGUCAGCUUCUGAGAUGAGGAAGGACCGCCCGUUAAAAGGCUUGCGUCCAACCGAGUUUCGUUUGUUUUGAAUGUGCAAGGACCCUGUUGGAGUUUUGGAUCUUUUACUCGGAGUUUGGUGAACGUGUCUACAAUUGGAAGAUGGGUUUGAGAAACACCUGGCAGGGGAGUAUAACGCCUACAAGUUAUAUAAAAACCUAUGGCGGCCUAAUCAGUCGUUUAAGCAUUUCUAACCCCAGUCGUCAAUGACGUUUCAUUUUCGAAAUGUGUAAUUGAAAACCAAAUACAACUUUAGACAAUGGAUCUCUUGGCUCACACAUCGAUGAAGAACGCAGC
rnacentral:misc_RNA from 1 species